rnacentral:rRNA from 1 species
UACGAAGGGGGCUAGCGUUGCUCGGAAUUACUGGGCGUAAAGCGCACGUAGGCGGAUCUUUAAGUCAGGGGGUGAAAUCCUGGAGCUCAACUCCAGAACUGCCUUUGAUACUGAGGACCUUGAGUUCGGGAGAGGUGAGUGGAACUGCGAGUGUAGAGGUGAAAUUCGUAGAUAUUCGCAAGAACACCAGUGGCGAAGGCGGCUCACUGGCCCGAUACUGACGCUGAGGUGCGAAAGCG